rnacentral:rRNA from 1 species
AGGACGAACGCUGGCGGCGUGCUUAACACAUGCAAGUCGAGCGGAAAGGCCCUUCGGGGUACUCGAGCGGCGAACGGGUGAGUAACACGUGAGUAAUCUGCCCCUAGCUCUGGGAUAGCUCCGGGAAACCGGGAUUAAUACCAGAUACGACCACUUUAGACAUCUGUUGUGGUGGAAAGAAUUUUGGCUAGGGAUGAGCUCGCGGCCUAUCAGCUUGUUGGUGAGGUAACGGCUCACCAAGGCGACGACGGGUAGCCGGCCUGAGAGGGCGACCGGCCACACUGGGACUGAGACACGGCCCAGACUCCUACGGGAGGCAGCAGUGGGGAAUAUUGCGCAAUGGGCGAAAGCCUGACGCAGCGACGCCGCGUGGGGGAUGAAGGCCUUCGGGUUGUAACCCCUUUCAGCAGGGACGAAGCGAAGUGACGGUACCUGCAGAAGAAGCGCCGGCUACUACGCGCCAGCAGCCGC